rnacentral:miRNA from 1 species
AAGUGGAGAAGUGGUCUCUA